AUGUGUCUGGGGAAAGGCCCUGAAGGGCGGGGGAGGAGGGAAGCUGGCUUGGGCAGGACUUCCUGUCCAAGGCCUCAGUUUCUCCAGCAGGCACCUCAUGACUCUUUUGGCUUCAUCCGGCUCAGAGAGUGGGGGAGGCACAGCAAAGGCCCUGGCGGCACUUCUUCCUCCACGCCAACAAGGACUGCAAGACAGAGUCCACGGCCCCAGCAGAGGAUGGGACCCCAGCGCGCGCCUGCACCUGCUCCCCAGCGGCUGGCCAAAGACAACGCCCAGCUCAGGGGGCCUUGUCUCGGUCCUGGCCGUCACUACCUCUGUUCCCUAGUCCCCGUUAAUGUCUGCCCCUGGGGUGUAUGUGUGUGUGUCUGUGUGUGUGACUGUGUGUGUGUGCCUGUGUGUGUCUGUGUGUGUGCCUGUGUGUGCCUGUGUGUGUGUAUGUGUGUAUGUCUCUGUGUGUGUAUGUGUGUAUCUGUGUGUCUGUGUGUCUCUGUGUGUGUGUCUGUGUGUGUGCAGUUCCUGUUUGAGGCUUUCAGAGGGUGUGGUAAGAAUCAAAUAGGAAAGGGCUUUGAAGAGGAUAAGGUUCCACUCAGUCUUAAAGGAUUAUUAAUUAGCCAAUUCCUUGAAAGAAAAUCCCAGUGGGAACUUUCUCAGGCCCUGGAGGGGUGUGUCCUGGAGAUCAUUUCAGAGUUACCCGGUGGAACGUUUCCACCUGGCCCGCAGACUGGCGAACCCUUGUACCGGACAUGCGUUCAGCCGGAUCCUACCGGUACCAGGCUGGGUCAGAUACGGCCUCUGGGCAUUGGCCUAAAAUGUUCCCACGUUAGUGAGCUAUUCACAGGACCAUUAAGUGCCCAAAGCCUGUCCCUGCCACACUCACUCCAAUUUGAUUGCAGUACAGAUGGUCCCCUCCUUAUGAUGUUUUUGCCAUCAGGAUGGUGUCAGAGUGACACACAUGCAGUAGAAAUCCUGCUUGGAACUUUGAGGUUUGAUCUUUUGUUUUUCCCCAAUGUGGAAAAAAAAUGUCCCAAUGUGGGCUUUCAAAAAAUUUAA
rnacentral:lncRNA from 1 species